UACGGGGGGAGCAAGCGUUGUUCGGAUUUACUGGGCGUAAAGGGCGCGUAGGCGGUCAGCACAAGUCAGUUGUGAAAUCUCCGGGCUUAACUCGGAAAGGUCAACUGAUACUGUGCGACUAGAGUGCAGAAGGGGCAACUGGAAUUCUCGGUGUAGCGGUGAAAUGCGCAGAUAUCAGGAGGAACACCAAUGGCGAAGGCAGCUCGCUGGAACGGUACUGACGCUGAGGCGCGAAAGCGUGGGGAGCGAACAGGG
rnacentral:rRNA from 1 species